GAGAAAAUGAAAAUUGUGUGCUUAGUAAUUGUAUGCGCUGCUUUACUUUUGUCAUGUAUUGAUUGAAAGUUUAAAUAUGCCAGCUUUUCAUUCACUACACUAAACCAGUUAACUUCCUUUCACACCGGUGCACCCAAGACAUGGUAUGCAGUCCCUAGGGACCGAGCCUCAGAGCUAGAGGAAGUUAUUCGUGUACAUGGAUAUGGAGGAAACCCUGACCGCCUUGCAUCGCUGGCAGUGCUUGGGGAGAAGACAACAUUGAUGUCUCCAGAUGUUCUUGUAGCCCGUGGUGUGCCCUGCUGUAGGUUAGUACAGUAUCCUGGAGAGUUUGUGGUGACAUUCCCAAGGGCAUACCACAUUGGGUUUAGUCAUGGAUGUAAGGAGGGCGUCCACAGGCUACACCAUGCCUCCACCUCCGCAGAUCACGCCUACCCUGCCCCGCCCGCGACAGCCUGCAAGCAUUAAUGAAGUUGUCUGUUUUGCAAUAACUAUGUGGAGCGGUUUGAUCAUCACUGUCCAUGGGUCGGUCAGUGCAUAGGACUGGUGAUAACUCCAGUGCACAAGAAUCCGCUGAACAGGGUGGCGUUGAGCUGUAUGAAGAGGUGAACAACCGUGGGCUCUGCGCUAUUGCCCAGGCUGAGUCGUAUGUUAUAAGGUUCUCGGUGGACUCGCCAUGAGAAGGUUACGCUCUUAGUUACCCCAGGCCUGUGUUCGAAGGGCGUUAUGGUGUUCUCUGGUUUGUCAUCGAGAAUAGCUCUUUCUCUUCCGUCAAGGGUUUCACCAAUGGCUUGUAACAACUGGAUGUAGAAUGAUUUUUGUUUUUUAACUGAUGUAGUGUGUUUUUGCAUUACAAUCCAUUGUGGCUAAGGGGGCAACACAUGUAGUGUGUAGUCAUCGUGAAUUUAAUAGUAACUAGCUCUACAGUUGUGAUUGGUUUAUAAAUGUGUUUGGUUGGACCUAUCAAUUGGAUGUUUGUUGGCUACAUCACAUAUUCUCUUAAGUUUACUUUGUGUGAUCGUUGAUGGUGUCUUUAUAAAGUGCAGGUUCAAUGUUUUAACUCCCGUAGCAACGCACGAGCACAUACCUAUAUUAUUGAAUCCACUAUAGACUUUCUGGAGCUGGCUCUUCAGUUUGGCAUGAUCAUGAUGUUUGCCUGUGCAUUUCCAUUGAUAUUCUGCUUUGCAGCUCUGAACAAUGUUACUGAAAUCAGAGCAGAUGCAUUGAAGUUGUUAGUCAUGUUGAAAAGACCUGAGCCGCGUGCUGCAGCUACAAUUGGAGCAUGGUUGAACAUAUUCCAGUUCUUGGUUGUGAUGGCAAUAUGCACCAACUGCUUGCUUCUCGUUUGUCUAUAUGACGAGGAGGGGAAAUGGAGGAUUGAGCCAGGACUAGCAGCAAUCCUCAUAAUGGAGCAUGCUCUCCUCUUAAUCAAGUUUGGUUUCUCACACUUUGUGCCUAAGGAGCCUGCGUGGGUGAAAGCAAACCGUGUGCGAUAUGUAGCUCAGGCACAAAACGUCUGCUCUAAACAACUUUUGAGGAGUAUUUCAAAAUUUGACGGAAAACUGGAUUGAGAAACACCAUGCACAGCUUAGCGGUUAUCGCUGGUUUUGUAGUUUAGGUAGAGCGGUUUUGUAUAGUACAAAGAUGUACAAAUCUAGGGGUGUAAUAUCUUGAUGCAUAUGACAGUUAAGUGUAGAUAUUAGGUGAUCGCCACCUAUCUUACCAGCAAAUGGUAAAGAAUGCCCUCAAGUGUAAGUCAGUUUUUCCCCUCUUUCAUUUUAAUGGUCUGUUGAAUUGAACGGAAACUCACAUUCUGCACCAUGUAAUGUGCUGUGGGUGAUUUCGAAGAGUAAGAUGGCACCCUAGCCAAAAGAUAUCAAUUAGGGCA